CCCUUAGAUGUUCUGGGCCGCACACGCGCUACACUGAAGGGGGCAGCGUGUACUCCUGGAUCGAAAGAUUUGGGUAACCCGCGAAUCUCCUUCGUGCUAGGGAUUGAGGUUUGCAAUUAUCCUUCAUGAACGAGGAAUUCCCAGUAAGUGCAAGUCAUAAGCUUGCGCUGACUACGUCCCUGCCCUUUGUACACACCGCCCGUCGCUACUACCGAUUGAAUGAUUUAGUGAGGACUUCGGACUGGGACCAAUGCGGCUUUCGGGCUGCGUCGGUAUUCUGGAAAGAUGUCCAAACUGUAUCAUUUAGAGGAAGUAAAAGUCGUAACA
rnacentral:rRNA from 1 species